rnacentral:rRNA from 1 species
UACAGAGGCCUCGAGCGUUAGGCGGAAUCACUGGGCUUAAAGCGUGUGUAGGCGGACUUCUAAGUACCUUGUGAAAUCCCACAGCUUAACUGUGGAACUGCUUGGUAUACUGGUUGUCUUGAGUCAGUCUAGGGGGCGAGCGGAACAGUGGUGGAGCGGUGAAAUGCGUAGAUAUCACUUGGAACGCCAACGGUGAAAACAGCUCGCUGGGGAUGUACUGACGGCUGAGACACGAAAGCCAGGGGAGCAAACGGG